rnacentral:rRNA from 1 species
UUGUGCCAGCAGCCGCGGUAAUUCCAGUCUCCAGAUAGCGUAUAUUAAAGUUGUUGUGGUUAAAAAGCUCGUAGUUGAACCUUGGGCCUGGCUGGCCGGUCCGCCUCACCGCGUGCACUGGUCCGGCCGGGCCUUUCCCUCUGUGGAACCCCAUACCCUUCACUGGGCGUGGCGGGGAAACAGGACAUUUACUUUGAAAAAAUUAGAGUGCUCCAGGCAGGCCUAUGCUCGAAUACAUUAGCAUGGAAUAAUAAAAUAGGACGCGCGGUUCUAUUUUGUUGGUUUAUAGGACCGCCGUAAUGAUUAAUAGGGACAGUCGGGGGCAUCAGUAUUCAACUGUCAGAGGUGAAAUUCUUGGAUCAGUUGAAGACUAACUACUGCGAAAGCAUUUGCCAAGGAUGUUUUCAUUAAUCAGGAACGAAAGUUAGGGGAUCGAAGACGAUCAGAUACCGUCGUAGUCUUAACCAUAAACUAUGCCGACUAGGGAUCGGACGGUGUUAUUCAUGACCCGUUCGGCACCUUACGAGAAAUCAAAGUGCUUGGGCUCCAGGGGGAGUAUGGGUCGCAAGGCUGAAACUUAAAGAAAUUGACGGAAGGGCACCACCAGGGGUGGAGCCUGCGCCUUAAUUUGACUCAACACGGGGAAACUCACCAGGUCCAGACACAAUAAGGGAUUGACAGAUUGAGAGCUCUUUCUUGAUUUUGUGGGUGGUGGUGCAUGGCCGUUUCUUAGUUGGUGGGGUGACUUGUCUGCUUAAAUUGCGAUAACGAACGAGAACUUUAACCUGCUAAAUAGCCCGCAUUGCUCCGGCAGUGCGCUGGCUUCUUAGGAGGGACUUACGGCUCAAGCGAAGGAAGUUUGAAGGCAAUAACUAGUCUUGUGAUGUCCUCUUAGGAUGGUUCUGGGCGC